AGAUAUCAAAGCUCCGGCGGUACAGGAUGGACCCGCGUCUGAUUAGCUAGUUGGUGAGGUAAUGGCUCACCAAGGCGACGAUCAGUAGCCGACCUGAGAGAAAGAUCGGCCACACUGGAACUGAGACACGGUCCAGACUCGUACGGGAGGCAGCAGUGGGGAAUAUU
rnacentral:rRNA from 1 species